rnacentral:rRNA from 1 species
AGAGGGCCCGAGCGUUGCGCGGAAUCACUGGGCUUAAAGGGUGCGUAGGCGGGCGUGUAAGUGUCUUGUGAAAUACCACGGCUUAACCGUGGAACUGCUCGGCAAACUGCACGUCUUGAGCCUCACAGGGGCCGUCGGAACGGUAGGUGGAGCGGUGAAAUGCGUAGAUAUCUACCGGAACGCCAAAGGUGAAGACAGACGGCUGGGUGAGCGCUGACGCUCAGGCACGAAAGCGUGGGGAGCGAACGGGAUUAGAUACCCCGGUAGUCCACGCCGUAAACGAUGUGCACUAGAUCGUGGAGGUUUUGACACCAUCACGGUCGCCGUAAAAACAUUAAGUGCACCGCCUGGGGAGUACGGUCGCAAGGCUA